rnacentral:lncRNA from 1 species
ACUCUCCUGCCUGGGCUGCUGCUCAACGGGGGCUGGGGGUGUGUGGGGCGGGGGUGGUCUGUCCAGUGAUUCAGCCACAUGUGAUAGAUGACCAAGUGACUGCUUUCUUGGAGUCCGCACACCAGUGGAAGACUCUCAAAGUGGUUGUGACCGACUUGAUCAAACUCUAGGCUUCCUGAACUGGAAUGAAAUGCAGAUAACUCUUUAGAAAACUUUUGUAGGAAAAGCGCCUCGUGUGAUCUGGAACAAAGACGUUUUAUAAUCAGAUUUAUCAAGCUGCGAAGAGGGAGUUUUAGUGAACGGAAGCAGCAGCAUUCUGUCACCAGGAAAUACUCCUUUAUCCAGAAUUGGUAAGUGAAAAGUGGCAUUGCUCCCUAAUAGAUAUCAUAUGCGUGUGUGGGAAUUGAAAAAUUGUUCACAGACCCCUAACAACUGUGUUGAACAGAGAACACAUAAACAGUGAGGAGUUCUAAAAAAGAGCAGCACGAGAAUACCGCAUAAAGACUGAGAAGAAGCCAGGUAAUUAACAAAAAUGAGCUGAGUGCUAUCAGUUUAGCUAAACAUAUGUAAUACAGCUAGAUUUGGUUGUUUUAUUUUUUCUUGUUAGUGGAGGAGAAACAUAAAAUCAGAAUGGGCUGUUUAGUAGAAUUGCGACAUUAACUUUCCAUGGAUGUAGAUUUCCAUUUAGUCUGAAUAGCAUGUAUGAAAUUUGAAGGGAUGCUUUCAGAAUUAGUCUACUUGCCCUCCUUUCCUUUCCUCUGCAUUAAGAUGUCAAGUAUUUAGUUAGAACCUUACAAGAUGAAAGUUGUACAAAAUGAAAGUUCAAGUAAUGCGUCGGAAACACCUCUCCUGAUUGGGAAGGGUAGAUUACAAUGGCAAUAGAUUUUUGUUUUUUGUUUCUUACAUUUGUGUCACGAAUUUUAAGUUUGUUCUAUUGGAUUACAUUAGUACAGCAAAAGGGGGGUUAUUUCUAUCUAUAUGGUUCAUGACAUUUUGAGAGGUCGUGAUUAGUAGUUCUUACUGGUUUCGUAUGCGUGUUCCUGCCUGUUGAAUUCAGUUUUCUAAUCUUGAAUCUGAGCUGCCUUUAUGUUAAAGGGUUCUAGAAAAAGACAAUAAAGCUUUGAAUACCCGUGUUAUAUACAACAGGUUCCUGUUCAUGAUGUAUAAGGUAACGCAAUUUUAUUUUAGGCAUGAAUGUCUAAUUUCUUGAUUUGGCUUCUUAAGAAUAUACUGAAAAGGUUGAAUAGAAUAAGAAAAAGAACAUUAGAAAAGAAUGGUGGGUGACUGCCUGAUUUUACUAGUUUCUUAUUGGUCAAUAGAAGUAAUCAUGUGAUGUCUACUUAUAGAAGCAAAUGGAAAAAAUUUUUCUUCUUUAACUGCUAACAAGUAUAUAGGCAAUUUUAGCAAUCUUCAUUUAUUAAUUUGAAUAUAUAAUUAUAACUGUUAUUAACAGAAUAAGUUUUGGGUAAUAUAGGAAAUAAUAAUUAUUUCUUUCUUUUUAAGCCAAAUUGGAAGUUGAAUCUACUUUUGGUUCCUGUUCUGUUACUUUCAAAAUCUUAAAAUCCUUAACUCAAAAGGGAAAAUGUAUAAUAAAACAGGAUAGCAGUGCUGAAAUUUCUCUCUCUUAGCAGUGGAGUGGGAUGAGGGUGGGGGAGGGAGAUGAAUCUAGUGAGAUAUAUUAAUUGUUUUUUCCCCCUCUUGUAUACUUGGAUAACUUUUGAGAUCAGUUUUCUCAGACUAGCAGCUCUCAAGACUU